rnacentral:rRNA from 1 species
UACGAGAGGCCCAGACGUUAUUCGGAAUUACUGGGCUUAAAGAGUUCGUAGGCGGCAUUGCAAGUAGGGUGUGAAAGCCCUCGGCUCAACCGAGGAAUUGCGCUCUAAACUGCAGUGCUUGAGGAACCUAGAGGUGAGCAGAACAGAUGGUGGAGCGGUGAAAUGCGUUGAUAUCAUCUGGAAUACCGGAGGCGAAGGCGGCUCACUGGGAGUUUUCUGACGCUGAGGAACGAAAGCCAGGGUAGCGAACGGG